UACGGGGGGGGCAAGCGUUGUUCGGAAUUACUGGGCGUAAAGGGCUCGUAGGCGGCCAACUAAGUCGGAUGUGAAAUCCCCAGGCUCAACCUGGGAACUGCAUCCGAUACUGGAUGGCUUGAAUUCGGGAGAGGGAUGCAGAAUUCCAGGUGUAGCGGUGAAAUGCGUAGAUAUCUGGAGGAAUACCGGUGGCGAAGGCGGUUCUCUGGGACGGUACUGACGCUGAGACGCGAAAGCGUGGGGAGCGAACAGG
rnacentral:rRNA from 1 species